CCUACGGGAGGCAGCAGUGGGGAAUAUUGGGCAAUGGGCGCAAGCCUGACCCAGCAACGCCGCGUGAAGGAAGAAGGCUUUCGGGUUGUAAACUUCUUUUGUCAGGGAAGAGUAGAAGACGGUACCUGACGAAUAAGCCACGGCUAACUACGUGCCAGCAGCCGCGGUAAUACGUAGGUGGCAAGCGUUGUCCGGAUUUACUGGGUGUAAAGGGCGUGUAGCCGGGUUGACAAGUCAGAUGUGAAAUCCUGCGGCUUAACCGAAGAACUUCAUUUGAAACUGUUGAUCUUGAGUACUGGAGAGGCAGACGGAAUUCCUAGUGUAGCGGUGAAAUGCGUAGAUAUUAGGAGGAACACCAGUGGCGAAGGCGGUCUGCUGGACAGCAACUGACGGUGAGGCGCGAAAGCGUGGGGAGCAAACAGGAUUAGAUACCCCAGUAGUC
rnacentral:rRNA from 1 species